rnacentral:rRNA from 1 species
AGGAAAGGCCUCUCCUCGCUCAUCUUGCUCAUCGCUUGGUCGAUUUGGAGGCACCGCAACCAUUCCGUGUUUGACGGCGGCACCCGCUCUGCCACACAGCUAUGCCAUGACAUCCGCGAAGAAACGAGCUCCCGGAUCAAGGCAGGAGCGAUUGGGUUAGCUACCAUAGCACCAUAG